UAAUUAAAUUAAUUAGCCGACACAAUUAAUUAUCGAUAAUUAAACAGUGUUCAACACAGUCAUUUUUUUACGCCCAGUUCUUAAUUAUUGUUAAUUGUUGACUCCAAAAUGAUGUUUUUUCACCCCAAAUUUUAGAGGGGACAAUUAAUCAUUAAUAAUCAUUAAUAAUCGUUAAUAAGUCAUUAAUAAUCGUUAAUAAGUCAUUAACGAGGAAAGGAAAAAAGAUAAUUAGCAAUAAUUAAAAGAUUUGAGGAGGGAAAAGAAAAAAAAGGGCAGAAAUGAAGAAAAAAAUGGGAGUAAAAAAACGAAUUUUGGGGGUUUUUGGGUUAAAUUUGGGUUAUUUUGGGGAAAAAACCCAAAUUGGGGUGAAAUGAACCCAAAAUGAGGAGCCACAAUGGGGUGAAAUCAGUCAGAUUCGGAGCUAACGAAGGACUUGUUAACUAAUGGUCGUUAUUAAUUAAUCUGGAGGACAUUUUCAAGUGGGGUCGAAGAUGGAAUCAAAAUGGCGGACGUUGAGAAGAUGGGAUUGGAAGAACCGCAUGAAAACGGCCUUAAUUAAUGAAACCCAAUUAAUAAACGUAAUUAAAUGAAGCUCGUGACGAAAAA